rnacentral:rRNA from 1 species
AACGAACGCUAUCGGUAUGCUUAACACAUGCAAGUUGAACGGACUAUUUAGGGCUUGCUCUAAAUAGUUAGUAGCAAACGGGUGGGUACCACGUGGGAAUCUGCCCAUCAGUACGGAAUAACAUUUAGAAAUAAAUGCUAAUCACGUAUAUUCUCUUCGGAGGAAAGCUUUAUCGCUGAUGGAUGAGCCCGCGUCAGAUUAGGUAGUUGGUGGGGUAAUGGCCCACCAAGCCAACGAUCUGUAGCUGGUCUGAGAGGAUGAUCAGCCACACUGGGACUGAGACACGGCCCAGACUCCGACGGGAGGCAGCAGUGGGGAAUAUUGGACAAUGGGCGAAAGCCUGAUCCAGCAAUACCGAGUGGGUGAUGAAGGCCUUAGGGUUGUAAAGCCCUUUUCAGCAGGGAAGAUAAUGACGGUACCUGACCAAGAAAGCCCCGGCUAACUCCGUGCCAGCAGCCGCCGCCGUAAGAC